AGUGAACGCUGGCGGUAGGCCUAACACAUGCAAGUCGAACGGCAGCACAGUAAGAGCUUGCUCUUACGGGUGGCGAGUGGCGGACGAGUGAGGAAUACAUCGGAAUCUACUUUUUCGUGGGGGAUAACGUAGGGAAACUUACGCUAAUACCGCAUACGACCUACGGGUGAAAGCAGGGGAUCUUCGGACCUUGCGCGAUUGAAUGAGCCGAUGUCGGAUUAGCUAGUUGGCGGGGUAAAGGCCCACCAAGGCGACGAUCCGUAGCUGGUCUGAGAGGAUGAUCAGCCACACUGGAACUGAGACACGGUCCAGACUCCUACGGGAGGCAGCAGUGGGGAAUAUUGGGCAAUGGGCGCAAGCCUGAUCCAGCCAUACCGCGUGGGUGAAGAAGGCCUUCGGGUUGUAAAGCCCUUUUGUUGGGAAAGAAAAGCAGCAGGUUAAUACCCCGCUGUUCUGACGGUACCCAAAGAAUAAGCACCGGCUAACUUCGUG
rnacentral:rRNA from 1 species